GUCUGCCCCGUGACUAUAUGUUUAACGGCCGCGGUAUUUUGACCGUGCGAAGGUAGCGUAAUCACUUGUCUUUUAAUUGUAGACCUGUAUGAAUGACUAGACGAGGGCUCAACUGUCUCCUCCUUCAAGUCAAUGAAAUUGAUCUCCCCGUGCAGAAGCGGGGUUGAAACCAUAAGACGAGAAGACCCUAUGAAGCUUCAGACACCCGGACAUAACGUGUCAAGUGACCCUAAAUCAAAAGACCAAAACCUAGCGAUCACAUGUCCCCUGUCUUCGGUUGGGGCGACCACGGGGAAAUAAAAAACCCCCGAGUGGAACGGUAAUAUACCUAAGCACAUAACCAUUCUACUAUAAUUAAGAGCUACAGCUCAAGCAAUCAGAACAUCUGACCAAUCAUGAUCCGGCUUAACGCCGAUUAACGGACCAAGUUACUCUAGGGAUAACAGCGCAAUCCCCUUUUUAGAGGCCGCAUCAACAAGGGGGUUUACGACCUCGAUGUUGGAUCAGGACAUCCUAAUGGUGCAGCCGCU
rnacentral:rRNA from 1 species